rnacentral:rRNA from 1 species
UACGGGAGGCAGCAGUGGGGAAUAUUGCACAAUGGGCGCAAGCCUGAUGCAGCCAUGCCGCGUGUAUGAAGAAGGCCUUCGGGUUGUAAAGUACUUUCAGUCGUGAGGAAGGUGUUAAGGUUAAUAACCUUAGCAAUUGACGUUAGCGACAGAAGAAGCACCGGCUAACUCCGUGCCAGCAGCCGCGGUAAUACGGAGGGUGCGAGCGUUAAUCGGAAUUACUGGGCGUAAAGGGCACGCAGGCGGUUAAUUAAGCUGGAUGUGAAAUCCCCGGGCUUAACCUGGGAAUGGCAUUCAAGCUGGUUAGCUAGAGUCUUGUAGAGGGGGUAGAAUUCCGAUGUGUAGCGGUGAAAUGCGUAGAGAUGUGGAGGAAUACCGGUGGCGAAGGCGGCCCCUGGGACAAAGACUGACGCUCAUGUGCGAAAGCGUGGGGAGCAAACGAGGAUUAGGAUACC